rnacentral:rRNA from 1 species
CUCGGCUUGACUUAUUAGCAUGGAAUAAUAAUAUAGGAUCUUGGUUCUAUUUUGUUGGUUUCUAGAGCUGAGGUAAUGAUUAAUAGGGAUAGUUGGGGGCAUUCGUAUUUACCUGUCAGAGGUGAAAUUCUUGGAUUGGUUUACGACGGACUACUGCGAAAGCAUUUGCCAAGGAUGUUUUCAUUGAUCAAGAACGAAAGUUAGGGGAUCGAAGACGAUCAGAUACCGUCCUAGUCUUAACCAUAAACCAUGCCAACUAGAAAUUGGACGUCGUUUUCUUUAGAAUGCCUUGACCCCCUUAGGAAAAAUCAAAUUCUUGGGGUUCCGGGGGAAGAAGGGCCCCAGGACUAAACCUUAAAGGAAUUGACGGAGGGGCACCACCAGGAUGGAGGCCGGCGGUUUAUUUGGAUUCACCACGGAGAAAUCAACCAGGUCCAAACUAAUAAGGGAUGGACGAAUGGAUACCUCUUUCUUGAUUCAAGGGGUGGUGGUGCAGGGCCGUUCUAAGUUGGUGAAUGGAUUGGUCUGCUUAUUGCUUUACCAAACGAGACCUUACCUGGCUAAAUAGUCCGCGCCAUAUCUCCGGAUAGCGCGCCGAACUUCCUUAGAGGGACUUGUUGUUUCCACCGUAGGGAAGUUUGAGGCAAUAACAGGUCGUGAAUGGCCCUUAAAUGUUCCUGGGCUUGCACGCCGCCCUAACUGGAUGCGUCCACCGAGUGAUCACCCUUGGCCGAAUAGGGUUGGGGUAAUCUUUUGGACCGCACUUCUGGAUGGGAAUAAAUUAUGGGCAUUAUUAAUCUUUCACCAAGAAUUCCAAAUAAACGGAGAAUCCACCACUUCUGCCUGAU